rnacentral:rRNA from 1 species
AUUGAACGCUGGCGGCAGGCCUAACACAUGCAAGUCGAGCGGAGCGGCGGACGGGUGAGUAAUGCCUAGGACUCUGCCUGGUAGUGGGGGAUAACGUCCGGAAACGGGCGCUAAUACCGCAUACUAUCAGAUGAGCCUAGGGCGGAUUAGAUAGUUGGUGGGGUAAAGGACUACCAAGGCGACGAUCCGUAACUGGUCUGCGAGGAUGAUCAGUCACACUGGAACUGAGACAAGGUCCAGACUCCGACGUUAGGCAGCAGUGGGGAAUUUUGGACAAUGGGUGAAAGCCUGAUGCAGCCAUGCCGCGUGUAUGAAGAAGGUCUUCGGAUGGUAAAGCACUUUAAGUUGGGAGGCGUUACCCACAGAAUAAGCACCGGCUAACUUCGUGCCAGCAGCCGCGGUAAUUC